rnacentral:misc_RNA from 1 species
CAGAGUUCAUGCCCUCACGGGUAGAUCUCCCACCCUUGUGUAAUAUAAAUAUCUGUUGCUUUGGCGGGUCGCGAGCUCACCCUCGCCUGUGUACCCGCCAGAGGACCAAUAAACUCUGAAUGUUAGUGUCGUCUGAGUACUAUAUAAUAGUUA